rnacentral:rRNA from 1 species
GAUGAACGCUAGCUACAGGCUUAACACAUGCAAGUCGCGGGGCAGCAUGGGGGUUGCUUGCAAUCCCCGAUGGCGACCGGCGCACGGGUGAGUAACGCGUAUCCAACCUGCCCUUCACCACGGGAUAACCCGGCGAAAGUCGGACUAAUACCGUAUGUUGUCCAUUGACGGCAUCCGAUUUGGACGAAAGGUUUGGCGGUGAAGGAUGGGGAUGCGUCCGAUUAGCUGGACGGCGGGGUGACGGCCCACCGUGGCGACGAUCGGUAGGGGUUCUGAGAGGAAGGUCCCCCACACUGGAACUGAGACACGGUCCAGACUCCUACGGGAGGCAGCAGUGAGGAAUAUUGGUCAAUGGGCGUAAGCCUGAACCAGCCAAGUAGCGUGCAGGAUGACGGCCCUAUGGGUCGUAAACUGCUUUUAUGCGGGGAUAAAGUGGCCCACGUGUGGGUUUUUGCAGGUACCGCAUGAAUAAGGACCGGCUAAUUCCGUG